AUCAUUUAAGUUCCUCUUAGGUUUAUUCUCAAAUUGUUCCAAUUUUUGAUUUAUUUCCCUAAAAGCUUCUUCUUCAUCAUAUUCCGGUUCUUGGUUCAUUAUUUCACAAUUAGAUCGCGUGUUUGGAUCUAGGCAUGAAGUUCGCAAGCAUGUCAUGUUAUUUAAAGCCGCAUUAUUAGAACUGAAAAAAGAAAUAAGAGAAAAAAUAACAAAAAUUAGAAAGAAUAAAGAGAGAUGAACGAUGAAAUAUUGAUUUCAUUUCAUUGAAUUUUGAAGAUAACAGGGUUUACAUUGGAAUUUAAAGACGAGAAACUAAAAUAAAUAUCCGAGUUACACCCUGAGAUAACUCGUGAUGCAGAAAAGGUGGCAAGACUGGACUACCGGGAUUCCCGCUUGAUUGGGAAAGGAGCAGCCUUCCAAUUUUGCAAUUUGGCAUUGGGCCCCAUAUACAGCACCUCAACGGUGCUCGAGCCUUCUCCCAGUAGGACCAUGUGGGUUUCAUACAGCAUCUGCCUCAUAGCCCCACAUAUUUCUUCAAUUUCCUUGGCCGUGAAGGCCUCAUCUUCCUCUUCCUCAUUGUGCUUAGGCCUGACAAAUGUUCUAUAAAGAUGCGGAAUCGACUUAGGCAAGACCCAACCAUUGUUCUUUUGUUUAUCUGCCUAUUUUUCAUCAGCUGGCGUGGGUUGGAAACCUACCCCAAAAAACUUCUCGCUAGCCACCAAAGUGAUAGGUUUGGUAAUUCCUUGCAAUGACGUUCUGAGCCCCUUCCCGAGUUUGUAACCAUGCCUGAUCAUUUCCUUGGCAACCAUAAUUGACGUAUUUGAGAGAAAGGGUUGAGGACAGGGGUUUCCUUCUUCACAUUGGUCCGCGACCACAACCUCAAAAUCUUGAUAGACUAUAUGUUCACUUCCUUCUCUAGCUUCAAGACAUGGGACUGACGGGUCCUGGUAAAUCGAUUACUCAUCUUCUCCGUGAACUACAAUCUCCUAAUCUUCAUGUUCGAAUUUCACCAUCUAGUGGAGAGUAGAAGGCACGACCCAUGCUGCGUGAAUCCAAGGUCUUCCUAAGAGAAAAUUAUAGGAAAUAUCCAUGUCCAAGACCUGAAAGAUCACCUCGAAAUCCGCUGGCCCAAUAGUCAGAAUUAAAUCAAUCUCGCCUAUGGUAUCUCUCUUGAUGCCAUCAAAGGCAAGCACACAGACGUUGUUGGGAUUGAUUCUCUUAGUACCGAUCUCCAUUCGUUGCAGAGUUGAGAGAGGCCAAAUAUCUACCCCAGAACCACCAUCUAACAUGACCCUUUUUCAUAUAAUAUCCAUCGCAUUUAACUGUCAGAUAAAGGGCUUUGUUGUGGGUGGCCCCUUCUGGGGGCAAAUCAUUCUUGCUGAAAGAGAUUUGAUUGACUGCAAAAAACCUUUCCGCCAUCCUCUCCAACUGUUCCAUAGUGGUUUUAAUGGGUACGUAUGCUUCAUUAAGAGUUUUGAUCAACACUUUUUGAUGUUCAGUUGAAUUCAUUAGCAGAGACAAUAAAGAGACCUGAGCAGGAGACUUCCGGAGUUAGUCGAUUAUCUCGUAAUCCGCCAUUUUCAUUUUUUGGAAGAACUCUUCUUCUUCUUCAGCACUCACUGGCUUCUUGAGUGGGAAACGCUUCUUCGUGGCAUUAUACACUUCUUCUAGAUUGAGGUAUUUCUCCACUGGGUUAAUUUCACUUGCUUCUCCCGAGAUCUCUUUACCCCCAUAAGUUACUACCGCCUUGUUGUAAUUCCAUGGGACGACAGUGGGAUCUGUCAUGGGCCUCUGCGGUGCGCGGCCAAUAACCAUGGGCUCAUUCAGCCUUGGUGAAAUUACUGGCCCCCGCACCACGUAGGUCCCUUUAGGCACAUACAUUUUAGAUCCCUUAUUUAGCUCAAACCUUCUUGGAGGGCUCAAUGACACCUGUUCUUUCUUGUGGCCUUGGGGAAUAUAGAUAGCGACAUCUUUUGAAGGCUCUGCCCCAGUUUCAGUUACAACUUUCUUUUCUGUUUUCUGAGGGGUGGGUUUACUCUUCUUCUCCCCCUUGUCUUGUUUUGCGACAGCCUUUGGCUUAUUUUCUACAUCGGCUAUGGCAUUGAUGGCUUUUAGAGCUGGGUCAAACUCUCUAUCUUCACAAAUCAUUCCAAUAACUGGCCCGUUGUUGUGAGCUGGUAAUGGACUGUUGGUUACAUAAGGAACGUGUUCGUCUUUUAGCACUAUUCGCUUUUGUUCUAUAAGGUUCUCCACAGCCCUUUUCAGGGUCCAACAAUCAUCUGUAGCAUGCCCUUUCGCCCCUAAGUGGUAAGCACAUCGAGUAUCGGCUCUGUAAGCAGGCGACAUUGGGUUCUUCCUGGUUUGGGGUACAGGCUGCAACAAACCCAUCUGGACAAGUUUAGGGAACAGGCUAGAAUAUGACUCACCAAUGGGCAUGAAGUUUGCCAUACUGGGUGGUUCCCGGGCACGGGCAUUGUAGGGGAAUUUAUUUUGUGGAGGUUGGGGAUUAUACUGAGCUUGGCGAGGAGGUUGAUUUCUAGGAAAUGGAGCUCGGUUUUGGUUGAAUUAUUGUUGUGGCCUAGCGUAUGGCUAGGCAUUCAUCACUGCGUAUGGCUGAGGAACCAUAGCAUAGGCCACAUCCUGAUGGGGAUAGUAAUGUUGUAGGGUUCUUGCAGGGAAGUAAGGUCUAGGUAUACGGGGUUUUCUUACACCUGAAGUUGUCAUUGCUACUUCAUCCUUCUUCUUUCGGUUCGCUACACCUCCAGACCCGCCUUGAAUUGCUUGGGAGGUAGCCCUUAUAGCAGAUUAACUCAAUAUGCGCCCUGGUUUUAGACAAUUCUCAACCAUUUCACCAAUUUUGAUGGCCUCGGCAAACGGUUUAUCCAUCGCGGACAUCAUAUUCUAAAAAUAAUCAGCCUCUUGGGCUUGAAGAAAAACACUAAGCAUAUCUGUUUCAUCCAUUGGAGGCUUGACUCUGGCUGCUUGUUCGCGCCAUUUGACAGCAUACUCUCGGAAGCUUUCCAAGGACUUCUUCUUGAGAUUGGACAAUGAAUUCCUGUCAGGGGCAAUGUCGAUGUUGUAUUGAAACUGCCUGACAAAAUCCUGAGCCAGGUCAUCCCAAAUAUGUCACUGAGAUAUAUCCUGAUCCAUGUACCAUUCAGAAGCAAUGUCAACUAUGCUCUCUCCAAAAUAAGCAAUGAGAAGCUCUUCUUUUCCGCCAGCUCCCCGCAAUUGGUUGCAGUACCUUUUGAGGUGGGCUAUGGGAUCCCCAUGCCCGUCAUACUUUUCAAACUUUGGGGUUUUGAAGCCCAAUGGUAAAUGCACGUGGGGAAACAUACACAGGUCAGCGUAGGAUACGCUCUUCUUCCCACUCAAACCCUAUAUAUUUUUGAGACUCUGCUCCAUACUCCUCAUCGUUCUGGUAAUCUCCUUUUGUUCAGGGUUUUUUGUGGUUUUCUCCUACCCCUCGAUAAACUCAUACCGGGGUGGUUGAGGGUAAGAAUUAGUAGUGAACUGGGUUGGUUCCAUUGGGAAAGAUGGUGCUUGAAAGGUGAAAGAUGAUGGAUCAAAGCUGGGCCUGGGUAGAGUGGGUUAUGCCACAGCUGAACAAGGUGGCGCAGUGAAUAUGUUUGAGGCCACACCUGACAUUGACACCUGGGACGGGCCUCAGAAGGUGUUCCGGCAAAGUGGGCUGAGAUGGUAGGAUAUCCCAGUGGGGUGUUUGAAUAACUUAUGGAGAUGUUGGAAGUCCCACUUUCCCUGGGAAAUAGCUCAGGGAAUCCAGGUAUCACACUUGGUGGUUCCCUUCCGUUGGCCCAGGCGUCCCACAUUUCCAUCAUGCGGAGCCGUAGAAUUCUAUUUUCCUCAGCAGUUGCUGACUCAGAAGUUGGGAUGGCCGAGAUCGGGCUAUCCUCCGGAAUAGGAACUGUUGCCACAUGACUUUCCGAAGACAUUUCAACACUUCCUUUCGACCUUGUAAAGUACGGAUGUGAAACCAAACUACCACAAAACCAACCACCUUAAUCCAGAACCUGUACUUAACAGUAGAAAACAAACCGGUCAGUUUGAAGCAAUUAACACAUAGGUAAUCGCACGUUGGGGUGUGAUGCACCUAUACAGUUAAAUGUGUUUCUACAUGUUUUGCAACGGUCGCGUGUUUCAUCCCAGAUUUUGCUUAUUUCCCCAAUUUUCUUUUCUUUCCACUUUAGCUCUUUGAUGUUUCUCCUCUUAUUCCCAUUUUCCUCUCUUUUCUUUCCUCCUUUUCCUUGCUCUCUUUUUUUGGUUUUUCUUUGGCUCUCUUUUUCUUUUCUUUUGGUUUUUCUUUCGGUUUUUUCCUUCCACAUCCCUCUUUUAUUUGAGUUAUUUUUACAAAAAAUUAUGACUAGAUCCGAUAAGGAUUGCCUACGUAUCACGACGCCGCGUGAAUCAGAUCAUUACGUAGUUUAGAAAUAAAUGCAAAAUAAAACAUUUUUUUUCUUUUGAAAUUUUCAUUAAAACAAAAGCUUUAAUUUUCUCUAUUACAAAGACUCGAUCCUACAUACUUGAGAAUUGAAAACUACAACAAACUCAAUACAGACUUUAGGGAAUGAAAAUACAGACUCAGAAAAGAAAACACAAUCAGGAGUACAUCAGUGCCUCCAAUCCUGUCCUAGAAACACCAACUGGUCUUGCCACGAGCCUACGUGCCAUGUCAUCUUGGAGGCAAUAGAGAUCGUCCAUUAUCUGGCGGACAAAGAUCAUUACUGAGGCGAAGAACAUGGACCUGGUCAUGUCCUCGCACUCGUUGCAUUUCAUCACGAUGUAGUCGGCGAUUUUUCUAACCCUUCCCCUAAUGAUGCCCUUUUCUUGCAACAACCACCCAAUCUGCUGAGAUCUAGCCUUUAAGACCUGAAUGGCAGUAUGAUUAUGCUCUUGCAAAUGCUGUAGGUCUCCCUCUAGUGGUGCCAUCAAAGCGUAGCAAUGUUCUCUCUCGGCUUUGAAGCUCUUGGUUUGUUUGGCCAUUUUAUUCUUGAGGGUGGUAGCUUUUUCUUCAAAUUUGUGACUUCUCCAUCGUAUUUCCUUUUUAGUUGUCAAACAAACUCUGCCCGCCCCUCGGCGUUCUUUGCAAAUUGUUCUCUAGCUCUUGCCAAACUGCCUUCAGAUUUUUCUAGAUCAUUCCCGUAGUCACAUAUUUUAUUCCUAAGGCCAUUAAUGAGUUUUUCAUCUGCUCAUGUUCUUUCCGGAUUCUUGGCAGCUAUCUUCAUCCUUUGGAUUUGGGCCCGGAGGAUUUCAUUUUCUUGGGCUAAUUUUUUUUUCUCGCCCUCUUCUGCAGCGGCUUGCACAUCACUAUUGAACUUGAGGUCUCUGAUCUGUCCUUCUAACCUGUAUAUGGUGGCCCGAUAUUCAUUUUCUUUUGCCAACCACUCCUACUGUUCUUGUGAUGCUUCGACAAAUUCUUGGAGGUGGAGUCUUUUAGCUGGCCUUCCAAACUCAAUUUUCCUUUUGUACCAGGCAAGGUAGCUGUGUGAGACUUAUUCUCUGGAUAGAUCACGCACUCGAGUAUUUGCUGUCAGAUAUUGGCACUCACUCCAAAUCUGGCGAACCACUGUUUCGUUAAACUGGCCAUCGGAACGGAUCUCGACCACAUGAAGGCUAAGGUUUUCAUCCUUGGGCACUAUUUGACGUCUCCCUAACUGUCUCAAAACCCGAUAUGGGGCAUAAGGCUGGAUGUUUUUGAGACCCAUUAGGAGGAAGUGAGGACUAGUAGCUAGCAUGUAUAUGAUUUCAUCAACAGGAAGCCAACCCAACAUCCACUCUAUUUGAUUUGCAGUGAUGGAGCAGAGGCAAGAUAUCCAUUCUGCAACCCCUUCUGGCAUGUUAAACCUGUCUACCCUUGUAUAAAACUCCCCUAUGCAGCUUUUCCCUGUCGACCCAUAGUUCAUGUACUGAGGACGAUGACAUAGAUGCUCAAUCAUCCACAUUUGCAGCAGCAAGUUGCACCCUUCAAAAAAGUCUCCUCCAGCCUUACAGGCUGUGAGGGCUCGGAAGAUUUCUGACACUAUCAUGGGUGCGAGGGUGCCUUUGGCCUGAGUAAGCAAAGUGUUGAUGACCCCAGCUAUCCGUACAUCGAUAUUCUCAUCUUUCCUAGGAAAUACAAGAAGACCCAAAAAUAUCACCAUGAAAGCGAAGCACCUGCGUUCUUCCCAUUUUAGUUGAUUCCCUUUGCUGCAAAUUCUGCUUUCUGGAUUGUUGAAACCCUCUAUGUGUCUGUAUCGCUAGUAUAUGAACUGUGCAGUGGAAAGACCAGCUGCCAAAUCUAGGUAUUGGACUCCCCUACUUAUCUUUAGCAAAUCUAGAAACUUGUGUGGAGUGACAGCUCUUGGAGUGACCAAAUACUUAUGUCUCAGAGCUUCAGUGCUCCCAAUAAACCCAGCUAUCUCUUCCAAGGUGGGUGUGAGUUCAAAAUUCGAGAAAUGAAACACAUUGUGAGCUGGAUCCCAAAACGUAACCAGUGCCUUUAUUAUGUCUCCUCUAGGCCUGAUCUUCAAUAACCUGGUGAGACCCCCCAAGUAGAGAUUGACCGUAUCUUAUCCUGAUUUACCCAGAUCUUCCCACCACAUAUACAGUUCCAAAGGAAUCUUGGUCAUGACCUUCAUUGGUAAGUUUUGACUCGUGCUCAUUCUGCACAUUUAAAUGAAGGUGAUUGGUUUAAAACAUAGCGGAUUUUACAAAAGAGGUCGAUUUUGCAAACAUUUAAAUAACACGGCUACUUUUGCAAAUACAGCCCUUCAGUACUUCGAAAUGGAAGAUUUUAGGGAUGUGCUUGCUAGGUAACCAAAAUUUUGAAAAAGGACAGUAGGUGGUUAUUUUUGCAAAAACGGUCUUCCGGCGUCCUUUUGGGGACAUUUUAGGCUAUUUAGACAAGAAAGACACUACCUAAUUUUAUUUAAAAUAGAAUAACAACAUUUCAUCAUUUUUUGGGUUAUUUUUGCAAAUAUGGAGUUGGACCCGAUAGGGGUUGCCUACGUAUCCCACAUUCGGUGAGAAUCAAACUUGCGUAGUUCGGUCAGUUUUGACAAAAUAAAAUAGAGAAAAGACAUGAAACUUUUGAAAUAAAAUUCUUUUUCUUCUUUUUUUCUUCAAAAUUUUGGCAGAGUUUCAGCGUAUUUUGGACACCAAGUUUUUUUCAAAGGCGGGUAAUCAAUUCUCUCAUACCUCAAUUUUAUUUUCCCAAUUCCUUCCCUAUUCUAGCAACCGGUCAACAUGCAAACCGAAGCAAAUAACUGCACAAGUAGCACGUAGAAUAUGCAUCAGGAUGGUCUUUGAUUCUGGGGUCCACCUGUCCUAGACGGACCCAACCCCUGUGUUGAGUCCCCAAAGUCAAAUGCACAUGAUGCAAACAAACGUUACUACUAGGGAUCCGGCAUGAGGCUAAGUUAUUCUAAGUGUAAAACCUGCGUAUAUUGUUCUAUACUUAUGUACCCGAGCGGACAACUCGAGCCAAGGGGGGGCUACGUAUUGGGAACCAAAAGGCCAUCCGGCUUUGUAACAUGUCCAAGCCUCUUUCUUAUUUCAAGGUAUGACACUAACAGAAAGAGGAGUCACGCCAGCGUGCACAUCCCCGAAGAUGAGAAGAGAANNNNNNNNNNNNNNNNNNNNNNNNNAACAAAAGUUCUGGGUUAUGUUCUCCAGCAUAGUCGUCAGAGCUGUCACACCUCCUUUUUACAACCCGAAAGGGUACAUCAGGGAGUUUUUUCAAUUAAAGUGACAUUAUUCGAAAUAGGAUUAUUUAUUUAUUAGAGUACUUGGAAUAAUUUAUUUGGUGUCCCAAGUCACCGAUUUAUUUUUAAAUCCCAAAUCGAGGAAAUUCGACUUUUCUUUUGAAGUCUACGAACCAGAAAUUUUAAGUAAGGAAUUCCGUUAACCCGGGAGAAGGUGUUAGGCAUUCCCGGGUUCCGUGGUUCUAGCACGGUCGCUUAAACUAUUAUAAUUGACCUAUUAUCUGAUUUUAAUACAUGUUUUAGCCUAUGGUUCAAUUUACUUAUUAACCGCUUUUAAUAAUUAUUGUUACAUAUUGCGAAUCAUGUCACGAGAAUCGUACCCAUGAUCUACAACAUGUUUAAUUUUAAAGAUUAAAUUGUGGCCAGGUCACAAAAAUGUACCCCCGGAUUUUAGUAAUUAGGCGUCACAACUACGCCAUGAGAACCGUACAUGUAUCUAUGACAAUUAUUUAAUUAACGUGAAUAAAGCAAACUACGAAGGUUCAAGGCAUUUCUAAACUAAUGUUGUAUUUAUAUGAGGGUCAUAAAUUAAAGGAUUUUAUUUUUAUAUGGCACACCCCAAAUUAUUUUAAGAAGAAUUAGUUCUUGAACUACAUUUGUGAGGGUCAUGUGUUAUAAAUUUAAAGCAUGGCACACCUCAAAUUAUUUUAAGAAAAAAAAGGGUUAUAUAUUUUAUAGGGCAAACUAAAGGUAUUCCUAUUUUAAACUAAUUUAAAACUAAUUAUCACAACCACGUCACGGGAGCCGUACCCGUAGUUGUAAUAAUUGGAAAGUAUACUUCGUUACUUAAUCUUAACAGAGAUUUAAUAUAAUCGAAGUCUUCUUCGAAAAACAAGUUGAAGAACAUUGUUAGUUUCACUGUGUAUGAACCAAAUGCAUAAAUAACAUGAUUUAUAUAAGCGGCUAUUUACAUAAUUAGCCAACGACAGUGUCUGAUGUUAGUCCUGUGUAUUCUCAAUUAGACCAAACUUUCCAGAUCAGUCCAAUAAUUCAUUAUCAAAAUUCCGGAAGUCUCGAAAUCAAAUUUCGAUCUCUAGAACUAAAAAUGGACUUUUGGAUCAUUACAUGCUUAUGCUCAAAACGGCAAAAUCUUCCAAAAACUCUUCCAAAACAUAUCCGAGCCUCAUGGGACCUCAACCAAAUAUGCCAACACCCCCCAUAACAUAGUUAAAACUUGUUCCAACUUUCGGAACGCUCAAUACAACAUCAAAACAUCAAAUCACCCUUGGAUUCCAGCCUAAGAAUUCCAAAACUUCCGAAAUCCGAAUUCGAUCAAAAAGUCGACCAAACGACGUCCAAAUGACCUGAAAUUUUGCACACACAUCACAAAUGACAUAACAAAGCUAAAAAAACUCUCGGAAUUCCAUUCCGACCCUCGGAUCAAAAUCUCACCAAUCAACCGGAAUUCGCCAAAAUAUUAACUUUGUCAAUUCAAGUCAAAUCCUUCCACGAACUUCCAAAAUGCAUUCUGAUCGCGCUGCUAAGUCAUAAAUCACCCAAAAAAUCUAUUUAAAUCAUAAAAUUUCUGAUCCGAGCUCAUAUACAAAUAAGUCAAACCUUUAAAAUUCAAAGCUUUCAACUAAGACUGUUCCUUCAAAUUCAUUCUGAUUUUUUCUGAAAACCAAAACCAACGAUCUACUUCAGUCAUAAUACGUUUCACGGGGCAAGUCAUGCCCAGGAACUGGCGAUCAAAGUGAAAAAGUUCAAAAUGACCGGUCGGGUCGUUACACUAUUUUUCCUGAGAAAGUCCGAGUUUCGACAUUCAUGGGGGUAAUAAUUCAUUUCCUUUUGGUAUUUGAGUAUUUGAAGAGUCGCCACCUAACGGAUUAUGGUGCGUUAGGGCACCUAGAGCGAUUAACUCUUAGACUAGUUUGCAUUACCAGAGAUUUAGGGUAAGGGCUCGAAAUAACCUAGAGGGGAAGGUGUUAGGCACCCCUCUCGAUCCACAAUGGUGGGUCCCGACCAAACUGAUACUUAAGAAUUAGUCCUUUAACAUAUAAGUAGUUGAAACACAUAAUUGCAAAUAAAAAGCAUGUUGGACAUUGUAUGACCCAAAUAAUAAGACAAGGAAUUUGAAAAAGUUGCAUGUAAAAAGUAAAGUUUAAACAUCGGGAUUGGGAAAAGUGGUCCUAGGUUGGUUAGCCUAUAGGAUCACCCCACACAAUGCCCUGUAAACACUCCUCAAUGAGGGGCUACACGUGACAUUAGCGCGUAGUCAUCAUAUCCUUACUACCCAUUCUCCCCGUGGUCACAGCCUAAAGCGUUCUAAUAACCUUAACAAUGUCCUAUGCAUGCACUACCCGUCCCUUCCUCAGGGCCUUGGAGGUAUUUUAGGACCUCUAUUUUUGGACAGUUCUAGACCUUCCUAAGAUUUUAAAGGAUAAAAGUCAAGGCGUCAAUCAAGAACAGUUAGGAGUGCAUUUAAAGGGAACAAUUUAUAGGGCCACAGUUACCUCCACAAAUAUAACAAGUAAAUGCACGCCUUCAAACAAUAUUCAAGUACUUUAUAAGAAAAUUCUAGAACAUGAUAUCUAGGUGAGCAGGGAUUAUACAAUAGUGAAUUAGGACAAAGUGUCAAAAUCCUAUUUAGCUUGCCUACUGAUUUAAACCUGUUAAAUCUGGACAGUUUUAAAUAACCAAAGCACCUCUUUAGAGUUGCAAAAUUUAAAUCGCCCCUAUAGGCUUGCCUAAACACAGAACAGUGAUGCCCUAAGAGCAUGAUAUCUACAUUAAUGUAGUAAAACAACAAACAAUUUUAAACGGAUACUUGAGAUCCUAUAGACAUGUUUUCUAACGGUAGUAAAUUAAGGCAGUGUUUGAAAACUCAUUAAAGAAGCGGACAGUUUAUUAAACCAGUUCAAAAAGGAACUAACAUGGAUUAAACUGAUUUGUUUAACUAAGCUGAUUUUAUGAUCUAUAGGAAGGAUUUCUACUAGAACUGAUUUUAAUUCCUAUAGGCAUGGUAUCUAAAUGUUAAGAGCUGAUUUUCGAACUUAUAGCCAUGAUUUCUAGUGAGACGAAUGUAAAUACAUGCAGUAGCAGAAGUUGAACUCAAUCACUUUACACUCUAUAUGCAUGGUAUCUAAUUAUUAUCACACCUCCUUUUUACAACCCGAAAGGGUACAUAAGGGAGUUUUUCUAAUUAAAGUGACAUUAUUCGAAAUGGGAUUAUUUAUUUAUUAGAGUCGCCACUUGGGAUAAUUCACUUGGUGUCCCAAGUCACCGAUUUAUUUUUAAAUCCCAAAUCGAGGAAAUUCGACUUUCCUUUUGAAGUCUGCGAAGCAGAAAUUCCAAGUAAGGAAUUCUGUUAACCCGGGAGAAGGUGUUAAGCAUUCCCGGGUUCCGUGUUUCUAGCACGGUCGCUUAAACUAUUAUAAUUGGCAUAUUAUCUGAUUUUCAUACAUGUUAAGCCUAUGGUUCAAUUUACUUAUUAACCGCUUUUAAUAAUUAAUGUUACAUAUUGUCAAUCAUGUCACGAGAACCGUACCCACGAUCUAUAAAAUGUUUAAUUUUAAAGAUUAAAUUAUGGUCAGAUCACAUAAAUGUACCCCCGGAUUUUAGUAAUUAGGCGUCACAAUUACGUCACGAAAACCGUACCCAUAGCUACAACAAUUAUUUAAUUAAUGCGCCUAAAGCAAACUACGAAGAUUCAAGGCAUUUCUAAACUAAUUUUGUAUUUAUAUGAGGGCCAUAAAUUAAAGGAUUUUAUUUGUAUAUGGCACACCCCAAAUUAUUUUAAGAAGAAUUAGUUCUUGAACUACAUUUGUGAGGGCCAUGUGUUAUAAAUUUAAAGCAUGGCACACCUCAAAUUAUUUUAGGAAAAAAAAAGGUUAUAUAUUUUAAAGGGCAAACUAAAGCUAUUCCUAUUUUAAACUAAUUUAAAACUAAUUAUCACAACCACGUCACGGGAGCCGUACCCGUAGUUGUAAUAAUUGGAAAGUAUACUUCGUUACUUAAUCUUAACAGAGAUUUAAUAUAAUCGAAGUCUUCUUCGAAAAACAAGUUGAAGAACAUUGUUAGUUUCACUGUGUAUGAACCAAAUGCAUAAAUAACAUGAUUUAUAUAAGUGGCUAUUUACAUAAUUUGCCAACGACAGUGUCUGAUGCUAGUCCUGCGUAUUCUUGAAACAAACAUCAAUAAUGAAUUAACACUUUACAAUUUAAAUAAUCAGAAAUAAAUAUUACAAGGUUAUGAUUAAUUCUUUUACUACUUCGAAUCUAUUGAGAUCUGCCCAAUUUUUAUAUCGUCAGCACCAUUUCUUUUGAAAUGAAGAUAUUCUCAAGCCAACAACACACACUCAUACAUUUUAAAUAGCCGAGGAACUUUACUGUCUUAAUAUUUUUUUAAAAUGAUCCUCACAACAUGAUUAAAUCAACAUUCAUUUCAAUGCAUCAGUAACCUAUUUCAAAUACAAGGGUGGAUAAAAUACGUUUAAACUAGGUGAUAUAGAACAUGCCAAUCACACAGACAUUGAACGGAAAUUUAAACUCAAAACGUCAUGCUUGAACAUGCAAAUUUCAUAGCAGACAAUCAAAAAUCAAACAUUUAGAUUUAAACCCUUUAAGAAUACACUACAGAUAUUUCAAUCACUGGACCUAAAGAGAAUAGCUUGAAGCAAUUCCGACACAGAAACAACAGCGAGCAAAGCGAGAUUCCCCAGCUUCCAUGUACGAAAAUCAUUCUCAUGUUCUUUAUAAAACUCAAACAAAACAUGGAUUAAAAGUAACAGGCCAACAUCCAGUUAAAAAAAACAAGUAACAGAAAACCAUAAGAAAAGAAAACAAAUGAAACUCAAAUAGCAAUCUUCCUUUAUAGCAAUUAUAGAAUCAACAAAUACACUGUUUUCUUGACUCCAAAAUUCCAGCGAGAUUCAACAACAGUAUCGAGUAGAACUUGCAAGCCAAAUCAAAAUUUCGAAACCCCACUUCGGACAAAAUCGACAGAGUGCAGAAAAUUCAAAACUCCACCCCAAUCUUCAACUUGAGGAUUUAAACCAAACUUCCUUUCUAAAGAAAGAACAGAAAUCAAGAGAAAAAGAAAACAAUGUUAGAAGAGAUCUGUUUCAGCAAUCUUUUUUUUUUGUUUUUUGAUUUUUUUCUCUUAAAACAAAACAAAGCUUGAAUGAAAACUAAACUCAAGCCAUAUAUUUUUUUUGUGUAUCUUUUCAGAAAAAAAAAAUGACAAAGAAGACUGAAGAAGAUAAAGGAAAAGAAAACUUGAAGGAAAGUGACGACUAAAAACCUCAUAUAUAUAGCCUUCAAAAACUUUCAAAAUCUGCCCAAUUUUGAAAAAAUCUUCAGGAUUUUUGAACAAUUUUGGGACAAAUGGAGGGCGUGGAUUGAUUCACAUCUAUCUACGGUUCCCAUUCAUCUAACAAUUGUCCUUUUUGUACAGAAAUUCAUAUGAUUUAGGAGAGAAUAUUCGAAUUCCUUCUGACAAAAACCAUUAGGAAUCAAAUAACGUGGAGGGAGGGACCAUUUUGAGUGAACUCGGGUGAGCUCUAGGCGAGUUGGGGUCGGGCUCAGUGAAGAAGAUGAACAGUAGUGCCGGAUUCCCUGAUUCUCUAGGGUUCCUGAUUUGGGAAAAAUCUUAUCAGGUGGUUU
rnacentral:lncRNA from 1 species